UUAUUAUUAUUAUUAUUAUUAGGUCUUUCCACCUUUCCGUGGAAAGACCUAUAGGUUUUGUUCUGAUUAUUAUUUUUUUCUUUUUUUCUUCCGCCUAAUUUUUUUCUUGCGUAGUAUUGAUGUUUCAAAAGAUGUCGCUUAGAUAUUUGGAAUAUGAUAUCGUAUAGUUUAUACGCUUUAAAAAUUUACAACCGCGUAACAAAAUACUUUACGUUGUAAGAGUUAUCUCCCCAAACACUGUUUUUCUGGUGGCCACUACUCCUUUGCAACUGUUAAAGAUUGCGACAAAUUUAUUUUACCAAAUUGCUCCUUACAUCUUCAGGAUUAGGUUAUUCAUUUGGACUGAAGCUUUACGGAGACUCCAUAUGAGAGUUAUUCCCCCUUUUCCAUUUAAUUAAGUGAUAUCCAUUUCCAACUGGUAAACCAUAAGUGAUAGAGACCUAGGGUCUUCAGAUUUGAGGUCCUUGGUCCAAAACACGAAAAUGAGGUCAAGGUCAAAGGUCAAGGUCAUAUUCUAAAUUUUGAUUUUGGCUUAAUUUCACUUUUUUCAAAUACCGUAUGACAUAUUGACAAAUAAUUUUUCAUAAAUUGUUAGUUGCGACAUGUCCUUACUUGUAUAUUUUGGUUGAAAGGUUGCGCAUACAAAAAAUUGGAGUUUUUGUCCAUCUUACAUUUAGAAUUAUGCGUAAAGUGGUAUUACUCAUUAACCAAACAUAUUAAAGACCUAGAGUCUUUUGAUUUAAGGUCCUUGGUUUGUGACCUUGAAAUUGAGGUCAAGGUCAUAGGUUAAUACGACGUUCUAGAUUUUGACCUUUGCUUUAAAUUCAUAUAAAUACAUCAUAAAGCCAUAGGAACUAAUAUUUUAAACUGAUUUUUCAUAUUUCAAUAUCAAAAUAGACCUUUACUAGUGGAAAGACCUACAAUUGUUCUCUGAACAAUUGGUUUUUAAUUUUUUUUUUUUAUUCUUCCGCCUAGUUCUUUUCUUGCGUAGUAUUGAUGUUUCAAAAGAUGUCGCUUAGAUAUUUGGAAUAUGAUAUCGUAAAGCGUAUGCACUUUUAAAACUGACCACUGCGUAACCAAAUACUUUACGUUGUAAGAGUUAUCUCCCCAAACACUGUUUUUCUUGUGGCCACUACUCCUUCGCAACCAUAAAAGAUUACGACAAAUUUAUUUUACCAAAUUGCUCGUUACAUCCUCAGGAUGUUCUGUUUUAUUUUGACCGAAGCCGUGUAGAGACUCCAUAUGAGAGUUAGUUCCCCUUUUGUAGUUGAAAUUUUUAAAUGUAUUUUAAACUGGAAAACCAUAAGUGAUAGAGACCUAGGGUCUUUUGUUUUGAGAUCAUUGGUCCAAAAAAAUGAAAAUUAGGUAAAGGUCAAAGGUCAAGGUCAUAUUCUAAAUUUUGAUUUUGGCCUAUUUUCACUAAUUUUCAUUAACCUUAUAAGAUACCGACAAAUUAUUUUUACUAAAUUGUUAGUUGCGACAUGUCGUAACUUAUAUAUUUUGGUUAAAAGGUGUGUAGACAUAAAAUGGGAGUUUUUGCCCCUCCUAUAUUAAGAAUUAAACGUAAAGUGAUAUAACUCAUUAACUAUACAUAUUACAGACCUAGGGUCUUUUUAUUUGGGGUCCCUGGUUUAUGACCUUGAAAUAUAGGUCAAGGUCAUCAGUAAAUUUGACGUUCUAGAUUUUGACCUUUGCUUAAAAUUCAUAUUUAUACAUCAUUAAGCCAUAGGAACUGACAUUUUCAACUGAAUUUUAAUAUUUUCAUAUCAAAAUAGAUCCUUAUUGGUGGAAAGACCUUCAAUUGUUCUCUGAACAAUUGGUUUUUAAUUUUC
rnacentral:lncRNA from 1 species